rnacentral:pre_miRNA from 1 species
CGUGUUCACUGUUGGCCUUGAUGUGUUGUUAGAACCAUAAGGCACGCGGUGAAUGCCAA